CAAUUUGAAUAUUUAAAUAGUAAAAAAUAUUAAUUUAAUUGGAAUUGUUAAUUGUGUAAUGAUUUGGUUUUGUUGGACCCAUGGGUCAAAUAAAACAGAGCAUUUCUCUCUCUGGGAAAAACCAAUCAAAGAAUUUCAUUAUAUCCUUUCUCAAAUCGUUCUAUUUCGUUUGAUAUUUCGUAAGGAUAAGUAAUACACG
rnacentral:lncRNA from 1 species